CUUUGCUCGACGAAAUUCUUGAAAUCUUAUUUUGGUGGUGAAGUAGUCUCCAAGCUGGUCACUGUCUGGUCGCUGCCCAGAGAAAGGUAUACCAUCCGGUGUAUGUGAAGCUCGAAGAAAGACAUAGACAUCCGGCACUACUGUUCUACCCUAAUCAGAGGAUCUGGUUGAUAUUCACUGGAAG